rnacentral:lncRNA from 1 species
CUCCCUCUCUUCCUUUUCAUGCCCAAAGGUUGGGUGCCUCUCUUCCACACAUCCAAAAGUAGUGUUGGAGACUUAGAGAUUGUAGAUCAAGGAGAAGAAGAAGAAGACUGCUGAUUAAGGAGUUGAACCCGCAGUCCAGAUCAAAGGAGUUGAUCAAAGUGUUCAAGGUUGAACUUCUUCUUGGAAAGAAGAAUCUUCUUCAAGGAGAAAGAAGUUCGAG